GCUUUGGUAGUGUAAUGGUAGCACAACAGUCUCCAAAAUUGUUAGUAGAGGUUCGAAUCCUUUCCAUUGUGCAA
rnacentral:tRNA from 1 species